rnacentral:rRNA from 1 species
UUUAUGGAGAGUUUCAUCCUGGCUCAGAGUGAACGCUGGCGGCGUGCCUAAUACAUGCAAGUCGAACGAUGAAGCUUCUAGCUUGCUAGAGUGCUGAUUAGUGGCGCACGGGUGAGUAACGCAUAGGUCAUGUGCCUCUUAGUUUGGGAUAGCCAUUGGAAACGAUGAUUAAUACCAGAUACUCCCUACGGGGGAAAGAUUUAUCGCUAAGAGAUCAGCCUAUGUCCUAUCAGCUUGUUGGUAAGGUAAUGGCUUACCAAGGCUAUGACGGGUAUCCGGCCUGAGAGGGUGAACGGACACACUGGAACUGAGACACGGUCCAGACUCCUACGGGAGGCAGCAGUAGGGAAUAUUGCUCAAUGGGGGAAACCCUGAAGCAGCAACGCCGCGUGGAGGAUGAAGGUUUUAGGAUUGUAAACUCCUUUUGUUAGAGAAGAUAAUGACGGUAUCUAACGAAUAAGCACCGGCUAACUCCGUGCCAGCAGCCGCGGUAAUACGGAGGGUGCAAGCGUUACUCGGAAUCACUGGGCGUAAAGAGCGCGUAGGCGGGAUAGUCAGUCAGGUGUGAAAUCCUAUGGCUUAACCAUAGAACUGCAUUUGAAACUACUAUUCUAGAGUGUGGGAGAGGUAGGUGGAAUUCUUGGUGUAGGGGUAAAAUCCGUAGAGAUCAAGAGGAAUACUCAUUGCGAAGGCGACCUGCUGGAACAUUACUGACGCUGAUUGCGCGAAAGCGUGGGGAGCAAACAGGAUUAGAUACCCUGGUAGUCCACGCCCUAAACGAUGGAUGCUAGUUGUUGGAGGGCUUAGUCUCUCCAGUAAUGCAGCUAACGCAUUAAGCAUCCCGCCUGGGGAGUACGGUCGCAAGAUUAAAACUCAAAGGAAUAGACGGGGACCCGCACAAGCGGUGGAGCAUGUGGUUUAAUUCGAAGAUACACGAAGAACCUUACCUAGGCUUGACAUUGAGAGAAUCCGCUAGAAAUAGUGGAGUGUCUGGCUUGCUAGACCUUGAAAACAGGUGCUGCACGGCUGUCGUCAGCUCGUGUCGUGAGAUGUUGGGUUAAGUCCCGCAACGAGCGCAACCCCCUUUCUUAGUUGCUAACAGGUUAUGCUGAGAACUCUAAGGAUACUGCCUCCGUAAGGAGGAGGAAGGUGGGGACGACGUCAAGUCAUCAUGGCCCUUACGCCUAGGGCUACACACGUGCUACAAUGGGGUGCACAAAGAGAAGCAAUACUGUGAAGUGGAGCCAAUCUUCAAAACACCUCUCAGUUCGGAUUGUAGGCUGCAACUCGCCUGCAUGAAGCUGGAAUCGCUAGUAAUCGCAAAUCAGCCAUGUUGCGGUGAAUACGUUCCCGGGUCUUGUACUCACCGCCCGUCACACCAUGGGAGUUGUGUUUGCCUUAAGUCAGGAUGCUAAAUUGGCUACUGCCCACGGCACACACAGCGACUGGGGUGAAGUCGUAACAAGGUAACCGUAGGUGAACCUGCGGCU